UGUGAACCUUUUCCCUAGACUUAUUGAAUUUCAACACAUUAUGAGCAGUCCUAUGAUCAAAGACUUGAUCAUUGCUCUCAACUUCAUCGGAAUUAGCUCGGUUGGAAGACAUCUUUUAUCUACGUGAAAAAAAAAUCGACUUGAGUCAGGAGACAUCACACUAUCCUAGGUUAUAAAAUGGCAUGUAUUUCUAGACUCCACUAAAUAUAAAACCCUUAACACGUCUCCAUCGCUGUAUUAGGGUUACGGAGCAUUACUGUAAAAAUCAAAACGUUUAACUUCAAAAACAGAAACAAUUAUGCAAUAUAAUAUCGACAUCUAACAACACAAUAUAAUCAUAGUAAAAAUACACUUUCGGGCUUUAAACCGAGUCUUCGGGGCCCUAAAAAUAACUUGGGAACAAUUUGGGACCAAUUUGAAACAAAACAAAAAUUUUUAGAAAAACAUGAAAUUUUGGGAAACUGGGUCACACGGCCAUGUGACAUAGCCUAGACUGUGUGAACAUUCGAAUUCUAGACACAUAGGCCGUGUCCCAACCCAUGUGUCCACCCGUGUUGUAACACCCCAAAACUUGACCCAGAAGUUUCGACCUGAUUCCGAAAGUCACAUUGGCCACCGAAGUGGCCCAAAAACAAAUUACUAAUUGAAAUUCUAAAUUCCUUUUUUAAAAAUCAUUUUCUUCCUAUGUUUAAAAAAUCCAAUAAAACUUAACAUAUGUUUUGCAAAUAGUGGUUUAAUUGUCGCUAAAAUUAAAAGAAACCAAGUUAAAAUUCGUUGUUCAGUUUGGAAACACUUCGGAUUUUGCUAAUUGUUAACCGAUAUUUAAAAAUCAAUGUAGCAGUGAAAAACACAUUAUUUUACUAUAACUCAAAAAUCAUAAAAGUAGUACUUUAAUAUUUGAUCAAUUAUUAAAUCAUUACAUUCUCAAAAAUCCAUGUUUCUAUUUUCAUAAUAACCAUGCAUGGAAACACCCAUUUAGUUCCAAAAUGAAAACUCGUAGCUUUCAAAGUCCAAGUUUAAUUCAGACCAAACAUCAACUUACAAUUCCAAAUGAAACUUAUACCAGAGUCCAUAAAAUUUAUUUAAAGUUCGUAUGAAAAUAGUUUAUCAAAGUUUACAAAAACUUUAUUAAAAACUAAACCAAAUUGAAAAAAAAUUCUAAUACCUUCGAUACACCGACUCCAACACCUAAACACGAGAGUCACCUGAAAAGGAGAAACUAGGAGAGUGAGCUACAAAAGUUCAGUGUGAAUCUUAAGAAAACGUAACCACAUAAAGCUGAACAGUUAACUAAAUAUUGCAAAAUAACUAAAUCGAAUCGUUAACAGAAAUCUUAUCAAAUUGGCUUAUCUCUUUUUUAUAACACUUAACAACAGAUAGGCAAAAAUGUAUACACAUAGAAUUGGUCGAACUCGCAAUGACCGAGAUCAGUACAAUUUUAGAUAUCACAUCGAAUUUAUUGCAUUAUUUUACGUUAUCCUUAGACAGACAUGCAAAUCGCAUUCAAGUGCAAAAUGUCACAAAACCCCCACCUAUCUAGCCUCUACACACCAUCUCCAACCAACCGUCACACACAAAAAAUAGACUCAUUUCUAAGCCCUUUCAUCCUCUACACACCAUGAUCGGGUUAUAGUGGUCCCGUCCAACCAAUUCACACCGUGAAGUGGUUGUACGCCACUUUUAGUAAUGCAAAAAUACCGCUAAAAAUAUAAAGAUGCAGUGGAACUGCUAAUAUGAACUUCCUUCACUUAAAAACCAUGUCCCAAUCACAAAUGCACAUGCAAAUAGUAUUAUGCAUACAGAUAUACAGAAUUGAACAUUCUCAUAUUCAGUCACCAACAGCUCUCAAACAUAUUUAUAAUCGACACCAAUUAACUGGAUCAUCGACAUGAGUAAAUUUUGUUUAACACUUCCAAUCAAUAUCCUAUUACAAAAUUAUUAUAACAAGUCAUUAAGGAAGAAAACAUAAAUGAAUUCAUGAGAAGUAGUUUUUAGUGUGAGAUUAAAGACAAUUAGUCCACAUAAAAUACAAAGAUAACUUGUAAAUAAAAAUGAGGAACCAAUAAUACUAAUAAUUGAACAACUUAAUGCAAGAUCUAAAGUGGUUAAGAAUUAGAUGCAUGAAAAAUUCUUGUCUUAAUAAUAGUAAAUGGGUAUUUUUUAAUAUAAGAAACGAUAAAAAGAAAAGGAAACUAAAAUUAUCUAAUAGUGGGAACCCAUAAGAAAUGAAGAUCUCCAAGAACAUAGAACAGUCCGUUUGUGGUUCGCACACAAUAAAGCAGAUGAGUGCUAACGGGUAGAUCUUAAGUCUAUCAAAAUAGUCAUGCAGGUUGUAAGACAAUUUUUUUAAAAAAAAAAACCCGACAGUACACUUGCAAGAAAGGUAAAACUGAAAAUUACAAAUUUCAAAAAGUUGAAAAUCUGCAAAUAUAGGACCACACCAACCUUUGCUGCAAAACACAAAAUUAAACCACAAUAUUCAUCCACAAUUACAAGUAUUCAAAAAACACACCUUAAAACGUGAUCCCAAACACCAAUGAACGACCGAUUUGCCAUCAUAAUACUAAUCUGAUAAAACUUUGAUGUCAACAGUGAAAAAAAACAAGAAAUUGAAUAAACUCCAAUGAAACGACAAUAAAAAAUUAUAUUAAAACAAAUAAAGUGGCUCAAAAUUAUUAGAGCUUUGGAGAAAAAAAAUGAAAAUCGAUAAACUAAAUAAACGAUGAACCAAAGAAAGGGAUAAAAAAUAAAAAGAAAAACUAUGGCAAAAGGAGAACAUAGUAACAAAAAACAAAAGUUUGAUAAAUUGGGAGAAAGAACAGGAAACUGACAUGAAUAGCAGAGAGUGAGCGAAACGUAAGAGAAAAAAUUGGGGUUUUCCUUUUUUUAUUCAAAAAUUAAAAUAAGAUAAAAUAAAACUAAC
rnacentral:lncRNA from 1 species